AAAAAAAAAAAAAAAAAAAAAAAAAAAAAAAACUUUUUAUCCCUUUAUAUG
rnacentral:ribozyme from 1 species